GGUUUAUUCAGCCAUGUGGUGGAUGGCUACUUGUCUUCUAAGCCACUUGCCUUCUGAUCGCUGGACUGACUCUCUCGCCCUCUCUUGGUGCAGCCCUCGGGAGGCUCGGUCACAAUCUCCGAGAGCACAGCCAUCAUCUCUCACGGUACCACAGGCCUGGUCACAUGGGACGCCACCCUCUGCCUUGCAGAAUGGGCCAUCGAGAACCCAGCAGCCUUCACUAACAGACGUGCUGUAUUGCCCAGAAGCCAUCGUGUCGCUGGUCGGGGUCCUGCGGAGGCUGGCUGCCUGCCAGGAGCACAAGCGGGCUCCUGAGGUCUACGUGGCCUUUACCGUCCGCAACCCAGAGACGUGCCAGCUGUUCACCACCGAGCUAGGUGAGCCCACACACCCACCCGGGCCUGCAUGGUCCCUGAGCUGUCCCUGCAGGACUCCAGUGGAAGUGAAAGAACUGGGCACCGGGGAAAAGCUAGGAUGUCCCACACUCCUACACCAUGCAGGGAACUCGGGCACAGGCCGGCUGGGCCGGGAUCAGAUGGGAAGCAGAAGCUCAUCAUGACCAGAAACUGUUUCCCUACGGAGAGCACUUGGAGAUGGCAAUGCUGAACCUCACACUGUAGGACUCACACACGACUCUAACGGGAUUGUAAGAAUCAAGUCACUCUCAUGGGAAGAAUUUUUAUAUGGGAAAGCGGCUAAAACUUUCAUUGGACUGGAAUGUUUGGAGAUUGUUAAAUUCCAAAUCAGGAACCACAAACUGCCCUCUAAUAAGAUAUCAGCUGUCUAAGCGUGUGGGUGCCGCCUUUCUGCCAGUAGUUCUGGUUCUUAAGAAAAGCACCAUAAAUCAGACAUGAAAAUUCUG
rnacentral:lncRNA from 1 species